AUUGCUAAGACAGCUAGGAUGUUGGCUUGGAAGCAGCCAUUCAUUUAAAGAGUGCGUAACAGCUCACUAGUCGAGGAGUUUGGCGUGGAUAAUAAUCGGGCAUAAGUGUUUUACCGAAGCUAUGGGAUACGUAAGUAUCGGUAGGGGAGCAUUCCACUCUGCGUUGAAGGCGAAGCGUGAGCUUUACUGGAGCGUGUGGAAAAGCAAAUGUAGGUAUAAGUAACGAUAAAGGGGGUGAGAAACCCCCUCGCCGCAAGACUAAGGUUUCCUGAUCAACGCUAAUCGGAUCAGGGUUAGUCGGGUCCUAAGGCUCAGCCGAACGGUGAGGCCGAUGGCAGAACAGGUUAAUAUUCCUGUACUACCUAUAAGAGUGAUGUGGAGACGGAGGAGUGACAACGCCGCGGACUGACGGAAUAGUCCGUUAAAGGGUGUAGAUGUUGAUUAUCCCAGGCAAAUCCGGGAUAAGAGUCGAACCUGACAGUAUACCAAUUUCCCCGGAAAACGGUAAUAGUGCGUGUAAACAUACUCCCAAGAAAAUCCGCUAAACUUAAUCUUACAGGUACCCGUACCGUAAACGGACACACGUAGUCGGGUUGAAUAUACUCAGGCGCUUGAGUGAAUCACGGUUAAGGAACUAGGCAAAUUGACCCUGUAACUUCG
rnacentral:rRNA from 1 species